rnacentral:rRNA from 1 species
AUUGAACGCUGGCGGCAGGCCUAACACAUGCAAGUCGAACGCUUGUCGGACUUGUGAGUCAUGUCUUGGAAACUGCCUGAUGGAGGGGGAUAACUACUUGUAACGGUAGCUAAUCCCUCAUACCAUCCGCUGUGCCCCGAUGGGAGUAGCUAGUAGGUGGGGUAACGGCUCACCUAGGCGACGAUACCUAGCUGGUCUGAGAGGAUGACCAGCCACACUGGAACUGGGACACGGUCCAGACUCCGCAGGGAGGCAGCAGGGGGGAAUAUUGCACAAUGGGCGCAAGCCUGAUGCAGCCAUGCCGCGGGUGUGAAGAAGGCCUUCGGGGUGUAAAGCACUGUCAGCGGGGAGGCGGGAACCGAAGAAGAAGGAACGGCUAACUCCGUGCCAGCAGCCGCGGUAAUAG